rnacentral:rRNA from 1 species
CAGUAGCCGCGGUAACACGAAGGGGGCUAGCGUUGUUCGGAAUUACGGGGCGUAAAGCGCACGUAGGCGGAUACUUAAGUUAGGGGUGAAAUCCCAGGGCUCAACCCUGGAACUGCCUUUAAUACUGGGUAUCUUGAGUUCGAGAGAGGUAAGUGGAAUUCCGAGUGUAGAGGUGAAAUUCGUAGAUAUUCGGAAGAACACCAGUGGCGAAGGCGGCCCGCUGGACAAGUGUUGACGCUGAGGUGCGAAAGCGUGGGGAGCAAACAGGAUUAGAUACCCGCGUAGUCCCUGUCUCUUAUAC